CAGACAGUGCCACCCCCUUGCAAAGCUUCUCAGCCAUCCACCAGGGAGUCGAUGAGCCCUUCAUCAAGUUCGUGGACCGCCUCCGAGAAGCCAUCGAAAGGCAGAUUGACAACGUGGAAGCCAGGGACGAGCUACUCUGAAAAAUGGUCAUGACUAACACCAACCCAGACACCAAGAAGAUACUCAGAGCUCUUCCACAGGACCCUGAGCCUUCUAUCCCCCAGAUGGUCACCGCCUGCACCAGAGCCACCUCCAUGGAACAGACAGUUGCAGCUGCGAUGGACGCAUCGAUUCCCACCUGCCCGCCUCCGUUGCUCACUCUGCGAGGAUGCCCACCUCCUUCGCUCCUCGCCCACCGCGGUUCCAGCAGCCUCCUCGGCAUCCGGGAAACGGUUUUUUCAGCGCGCCCCGGCCCUGUGCAAUGACACCAAGUGGCAGGCCGCAGCGGUUCCAGGUGGCAGCGAGAACCAGUUCCCAGACGGGUCAUUUCUGAGGCUUGGAGCCCCGAGGGAGGUUUCAGAAAUUAUCCGGAGGAACACCCAACAUUUCAGUCACCGUCUCCUACAAGGAGAAGAACUUCAACCUUUCGAUGAUGGCAGACACAGGAAGAUUCACCUGCCGACAGACAAGCCCACCGUGUCGCCCAUCCUGCCCCGGAAUCGGCCUUCCCGUGGAAAAGGAGAAGCAGGAAGGGGACGUAGCCAAACCUGGUUGCAAGGAUGCUCAUUACACGCAGAUAUAUCCCCUUGAUCGAGCAGACAAACAUUUUGUACACAAAUGUACUCCCACCCUUCCCAAAGGGCCGUUAUUAGCAAGAAGUCAUUGCCUCCUCCCGACUGCCGACAUUAUGCGCGUCGGGUUCCGCCCCUUUCUCACUCCUCCAUUCUUUGCCAUCAUCCUUCCCUUCUCCCUCCCUCUGGCACUUCUCCUGCAUCUCCUUCUCCUCUUUCCCAUCCUCCUGCUCCCUCUUCAACCCAUAAAGAAGAGGGAGGUGUCAGAGAAAGUUUGAGUACAGGUUGAUGUCUAACAGGAAACGACCAUUUCCCGUGAGAACAGGGGUUGCAAAGACAAGACAGAGAAAGCUUGAGUUAUGGUUGAGAGCUUAUUGGCCCCAA